ensembl:antisense
GAAAAAAUAUGAAAAAAAAACCUGUACUAUCAUCUUGUUUACAUGUAGAUAAUGUACUCUACAUGCUAUGUGCUUAGAAAUAUAUAGGACAUAGUAAAUAACGGUGUCACCUGUUAUUAUAGAACUAGACAGUCAAAAUAGUUAAUUCAUCGCAAGCCUUAUCAUAAUGAAGGAAAGGAGGUUGGUUUAAUAAUGCAUAUGGAUAUGAAUUUCCAAACUCAAAAUGGUACAUAUGUACAAAUGCAACUCAAAUUAAUGCUAACAACUUAAAUUUCAUUAUUUUUAGAACACUCCUAUGCCCAUGUAAAUAACCUGUAUUGAGUUAAAGAGUUAACUCUAGUUCUGCUCUAAAAACAUUUGACUCCUGAAAGAGCCAUACUGGUCUCUGUGUUCAAUUUUCUUAAAAUAGUAAUUGUAUGCUUCAAAGAACAAAGAAGCUACCUGCAAACACUAUCAGAAAUUACUGUAAUAGUUACGUUUAGCCAAAAACAUCCUGACUGGUGUAUAACCUGUUGUAUUAAGGUAAUAUUAGGAGCUAUACUAGAAGCAUAAGAGUUCUCUCAGACUAUAAAGUAUAAAAUAAACACAGUUUUCUUUAGAUGCCCUUUACAUGAAAAGCUCAGAAGACUCACUAGUGCUAGGUGGUGCAUUCCUAGACUCAAUCGCCACUAAUUUUCAAAUCAAACAAAGGUUCAACUACGGCAAUGCUUUCUUUCCAAUUGCCUUAAGCACGUAUUAUCAAGUCCUCAAUAAUAAACUCAAGUAUUUACAAUCUAUUCAUGAUCUACUUUGGGCACUACACUGUUUUAAUCUACACUUUGAAUAAAAUGUUAUAAAAUUUUACCAUAUUUGGAUGAUAACAAUGUGCAUGGAUUCAUUCAAUGAAAAAAGCAUAAAUUACAAGUGAAGCAGACAGAUGGCCUCACUGUUGCCAUUUUCAAGCACAAUGAAAAAAAUUGAUUUGUUACUAAAAUUAGGGAGCUAGUAUGUAGUACUUAUGUUUGAAAUUCUCCAUAACAAAUGUUUUAAAAGACUGUAUUAUUCUGAAGAGCAAUAAACAAAUAUGAUUAUUUUAAACAGCCAGUUUAGACACACGCUCGUUAAUAAUAUUCUACUGCUGCAUUACUAGCCUUCUCUUAAAAAGCACAUUCACUUAAAAGAUUUGUGUAAUUUUUCAUUUAUUUGUGUACUUUCUUACUGUGUGUGUAUACGUGCAUGCACUUGCACACAAGAGUGCACACACAUGCAACAGCAGGUAUGUGGAGGUGAGAGGCCAACCUUUGAAAGUUGGUUCUCCCUGCCCAUCAUGUUGUGGGUUCUGGAGUCCAAUUCAGGUCAUCAAGUUUGUAAGCCAGGGGCAUCACCUGCUGAGCCAUUUCAACCAGAACCUGAAGUGCUUAUUUUCAAUAAAGAUUGAUUUAAAGGAAAUCAUGUAGGAAGAGCAUUUGGUUUGCAUUGUUUUUCUAAAGCCAAAAAUCCAGCAACCAAAAAAAUUAAUCUAUAAGAGUAUUUGACCAGCUUUUUUGUUUUGGUUUUUGGGGUUUUUUGUUUGGUUGGUUUUGGGUUUUUUUUGUUGUUGUUGUUUUGUUUUGUUUUUUGCCAAAGGUAAAAAAAUGAGAUAAAUAAAUAAAUAAAAUGAGAAAACUUGGUAAUUAGAUUAAAAUAGCUAACUUUAUACUAGUUUAUUAUACACUAGGCAGUGUCUUGUUUUACACACACACACACACACACACACACACACACACACGAAGUCCAUUCCUUGCCCUAAAAACUUGUCAAAGCUAUUCUUGUUUUACAGACAGAAAAUGAGAAGGCAGUGAGUAACUUGUUCACAUCACAUAGCUCUGAGGUAUGAGGCCACUACUCUGAGCUAGCUACCGGCUAGGCUACACAC